GGGUGGUGGAAAUCUGGGGUUCUGGAGCACAUGAGGGAGCAUCAGCCCCUGAGAGCGGCUGGAGAAUCCCUCGAUGGAGAAUCCCAGAUCCUGGUGUGACCCAAGGGCAGCACUCUGGGAAGCAGAGCACGCAGACACGAGCCUUUGCACGGGGGCUGCAAGGGGAUGGGAUCUGCGUGUGCAGCCCUCCAUGGAAUCAUGGAAUCAUGGAAUCAUGGAAUGGUUUGGGCUGAAAGGGACCUUAAAGCUCAUCCAGUUCCAACCCCCUGCCAUGAGCAAGGACACCUUCCACUAGCCCAGGCUGUUAAAAAAUCAUGCCCAGACUUCUGCAUGCAGGACUGAGAAUCAUUUUAGAUUCCCUGAAGCCUGACUCAUGGAGUGCUGCAGGUUCAGCGUGAAUCCUGGAGGGUUUUGCAUCUGGGAUGAUAAAUCCUGAUGGAGCUGCCUCUUGUAGCUGCCCUGGGCUCUUCCACAUCUUAAUAAUAGUCCUGAUAAUAGGGGAGAAAAAGGAUGUGAAAUAAAGAUUAUCAAAAAGUCAA